AUUUAGUGGCUGUAUCAGUUGCAUGUAUUGGGAUCUUGCAAGUGAUGCCACAACACGUAUAUUUAUUAAAUUCUGCCAUUUUGAGUGGCAAAUUAAAUAUAAUUACAAACAAACAUGACGUCAAAGCAACACUGGCACUGACCGUGGCUGAUGCUUUUGUUUGAGCACUUUGAAGAGUGAUAAUGAUCCAUUUCUGUGUAGUAUAGUCGUUGAAUAAACAUUUUUGCCACCCAAAAUGGCAGAAUAUUUUAUCAUCAUACUGCGAGACCUGAAUAUAGGGCAUUAUAUUUCAAACACAGAAGUUUGAUAUAACAAUGCUUUAUUCCUCAUAACUCACAAUACACAGCUGAUGAAGCCUAAGUACUAAAAUAAAAUGUCAUAGCUUAGCGACCUCGCGAUAUAUAGCUUCAGUUCUUCAUCAGCUCGCUUUGCAUGGUUGUGUUUUUUUAGAGAGAUAUUUUUCGGAUGUAUUUGGCAUUAUGGCAUGCCACAAAACAACGAGAAUGGGGAAUCACUAGACCCUAAUCUAGCUCUGUGAGAAAGCUCGCUAGGAAAUGCUUCGGUGAAACAGCCACCGAGGAAAAAAAAUGCCUCAUAAAAACUCAGCAUCAAGCUCAGCAAGCCAUGGCGGGAAAAAACGAAGAUGAUCUGAAAGCUCUUCUAAAACUGCCAAACACGUAAGGGGCACAAAAAACGUAGAUCUAAAUCUUGUACUUAUGUUUCAUCCUCCAGUUCAUUGUCUAGUUCAUCUUUGAGCUCUAGCUCGAGCAGUGAUUCCGGCUCUUCUGAGGAUGAAGAGCCAGGCAUGAGUAGCAUGACUGAACACAGUGAAACGGUGAAUCCAGGCUCAGAACCAAUUGUUGAGUUUGCAGCAGCUGCCGCAUUUCAGGGCCUGUCUAAGCCAGCCAGGAAAUCAGAUAUGGUUGGAGAAACGCCAAUGCCGUUUCAUCCAGAUUUACGACCGAAAAAGGCUGAUUUCCUUUGACUUGUAUUUGAAAUAAAAGAAGGGAAAAAUGCAGAAAAAAUAAAAAAAUAUUAACAAUAAUUUAUCCAUUACAUAUUAAAGGGGGAUAGCAAUGGCUGUGGUCCACAUAUGUGGCCGACAUACUACGCAUGAAUAAGGGAGUCUGGGGGCAUACUCCGGCAGAAAAUUUUUGAAAUUUGAAGCCUGGAAAUGCCAUUUCCUACAUUCUGAGCAUCUAAAUUUGCUCUAAAAUUUAAGCUAACUAUACUUGUAUUUGAAAUACAGUAAAAGAAGGAAAAAACGCACAAAAAAUUUUAAAAAUAUUAAUUAACAAUAAUUUAUCAUUACUUAGUGUUAGAAACACGUAGGAUGCACACACGGUGACACAGCUCCUUUAAAUCGAUUUUGUUAAACAUGGACAAAGGGUAAAGGCGUAAAGCCUAAAACUUGUCGAUUUGUUAUUCUUCGCUGGUUUCUUUCGCAAAAGUUUUGCCUGAGUGCUUAGACCUGAUUUAUGAAUCAUGACGAAUAGCGCUUGCGCAAAAAACAAUGGAGAUGGACUUCUGUAUAGUAUUCUGUGCUGAAACUGUCGAAAGAAAUGGAAAGACGCGGGCUACAAUCCCCGGUCAUGGGACAGACUGAAUGCUCAGUUGCCUCAGUUUUUCAGCUGGAGGCCAGAUCCAAAAGCGAUUGCCUCGGAUGCCCUUCAACAGGACUGGUCGCACGAGAAAAGCUAUGCAUGCCCUACGUUUUGCCUGAUAAUGUGAUCACUAGCGAAGUUGAGGGCACAAGGGGCAGAGUUGAUACUAGUCACUCUUUUGUGGCCAACGCAAGCUUGGUACCCCAACCUGUUGAAUCUGUCAGUAUCCCUACCAGUUCUCCCUAUGAGCCCAUCUCUGUUACUAUGUCCUCGGGGGGGGAGGGGGGUGUAGCCUGCGGCCCAAAAACUACACAUUCUGAGUUUCGCCCACCGAACGCACGGUCCCGCCCAUCUUAAUGUAUUUAUUUUAAUUAUUUGUCAAACUUUUGUCAAACUCACGUAUUUGCACCAGUGCAAAUAUACGGCUUUGACGUUUCAUAUCUUCGGUUCAUUCAAUGCUAUGCCUAUGGAGACAAAAAUACCACGUUCGAUUCAGCGUAACAAUAUGUCCUCAUUCAUAGCGAUAGUUUUAGUCGAUGUCAACAUUAUAGCGAUUUAUGAGCUUUGAAAGUCAAUUAGCGAGUUCGUGAAUUAUCAAAUUACGCAAUUUUUAUGCAUACCUUUCGCCGAACAUAACUUCGGCCCCUUCGGACGUAACUUUGUAAUAGUCUUGUUCCAAUCGCUAUCAAAAACACUACUUCGAGUGUCAUUUAAGAGCCUGUAUCUUCAAAUCUGCACUUUUAUCACGGUAUCACACCAUCACAUCUAUCAAGCAACAAAUGUUGGAUUGAUAUUCGUUGUUCAUUCUUCAAGACGAAGCGAUUUCCGAUUCCAGAUAAAGAUUAAAGAAUUCAACGC
rnacentral:lncRNA from 1 species